rnacentral:rRNA from 2 species
UGCAGAAUCCCGUGAACCAUCGAGUCUUUGAACGCAAGUUGCGCCCGAAGCCAUUAGGCCGAGGGCACGUCUGCCUGGGCGUCACGU